UGUUAGACUUGCCAGUGGGUGCUCAGAACCUUAAAAAAAAAACCCAAACAGAUAUUUAAUGCCUCCACAUGUACACAAAAAAAAAGCUGAUAUAUUGGCAAGUACAGUAACAACUCACUUAAGGUUGUAGUUAUGUUUCUGAAAAAUGUGACUAAGUGAAACUAUGUUAAGCGAAUCCAAUUUUCCCCAUAAGAAUUAAUGUAAAUGGGGGGGGGGUUAGGUUCCAGGGAAAUUUUUUUUGCCAGACAAAAGGCGUUAUAUACACUUUAGACAAGCAAUUUAAUAAAGGUAUAAGUUUUAAACAAUUUUAAAUAAACCAUUUAAUAUUACAGUCAUCACUGCUGAGUGUGAAGCUUGGUGGGGGGAUAGUGUGCAGAUGCUGUGUGUUUACAAACAUACUGUACAUAUAGUACAGUAUUAUAGUUGUGAGGUGCCCGUCCUUACCCCACACAGGCACAGUGCACUGGCACUGGAGACAAUGAGGUAGGCUUUUGAAAUGAAGCUUAAUGCUUCAGCUCACUCUGCUUCCUAUAUGUCAUUCACAAAAGAUGGAACAGAGGUAGAAUUGUGCCUAAAUACAUUCACUACCCCCCGCCCCUGAAAAGGAAGUAAGCUAAGAGAGUAAAGAGGUUUGUGGGAAGAUAAAGGUACGGAGGUAUUCAAAACCUCAUAUGCUGAGCAGUCAGCCAUGAGCUGUAUUUUCUUUUCAAUUUAAUUUUAUAAAUAAUUAUGUAUUUAUUACCUUACAAAAACUGUUCCAUACAAUGAGAACUUUAUAGUGUAUAGUAUAGCCCAGAACAAAAUGUAUUGCCAAGUUUUGAAAACCCCUCUUAUAGAAAGGAUUUGUAAUGAAAAGAGUAACACCUCUUAGCUGAUAGCUGCACUGUAAGUGCUGCUUUAAUAAUAUGUUUUCUUUCCAGAGGUCAUGUGUGCAUUGUUUAAUUUCUUAAAGCUGAAUUCUUAGUGCAUGUGCCAGAGUAAAUUUUUAUUGUUAAUAUCACCAUGAAAAUACACAAAUGAGCCCAUUACAUCUCAGUAACUCCACAUUAACUUGGCAGCCCUGGUCUAGGAAAGUGAAGGCAAAAUUAGAAAGCUAGCCUAUUUAUUCAAUACUGACAGAAUUUCCAACGCUCAGUACAAAUAAAAAUGCUAGUGUUGCCUUCAUAUUAGGUCAGAUUCUUAUUUGUCAGUACCCUUGCUAAAUCCAGAUACCACCAUCUGACAAUGGGUCUUUAUGGGCCAGGGUGCACAGAUAUUAUAGCAUCACUUCUUCCUACUCGUAUUGAAGUAGUAUUGAAAUUCUUAUUGAAUGUGAAAACACUGGUUUUCAAAUUACUUGGCCUUUUAGGAUUUUCCCAACAUAGCUGUCAGGCUUUUAUUUAAAUAUUUAUCUAAUAAUUUUGUGGGGACUGUGCUCAUAAAACCUUUUCUAUUUCCUCUUUUCAUCCUGUCCCCCUACUGCUGUAGCAAAUUCAGUAACCUGUCGUCCUUGCUUCUGUUAUAUUAUAGCGGGCUUAGGUAGUACUAGCCAAUAUAUGUAAAGACUCCCUAAAAGACCAUUUGUGUUGUAGUAUUAUUAAAACAUCUGUGAUGUUCUAUCGGAAGUGUGGGCAGACAGUACACACGUGAAUUAUUGAUGAUUUUUGUACCAUGAAUAAUCGCUCUUCUCUUCUAGUGAAAUUUAAUUCAGUUGUUUUAACCAAAGCAAAAAGAAAAAGGAUACCCCAGCAACACCUCACCAUGUGACUCUGUUUUGUACUUUACUUUUAUAAGGGGCUGGGGGGGGGGGGAGCCGAGUUACUUUUACUUGGCCGUAAGACACUUUCUCUGAUGAAACCUGGCAAAUAAAUUCUUGGGUUAGGAGCAAAGCAAUUUUUUUAAAAAAAGUUUAGAAAUCUAUUUCCUGAAGUUGGCUGAAACUGUGAUCUUCUAUAUAUUUUCAGACACUUUUUAUACUUCUGAAUCCAAAAAUCAUUUGCAGGUUUUUUUCCAAAUAGGAAAUUUUCAAAUCAUUAGUUUAUAAAUAACAUCCUAGUUAUUUCUGUGCAUGCACAGGGGUAUUUUUAAAAAUAAUUUCCAUGAGAAUUUACAGUGCAUUUGCACAACAGCUGCAUUGACUCAUGCCAGGGAGAGGCCUGCCAAAUUUGAUUCAUUUUGGGUUUUUUGCAUUAAUUUAAAAGCAAGUUUUAAAAUGAAGGAUUUUAUACUGAGUUUCAGGGAGAUUUUAAAAAUCUUCUUUGAAUUUGCUCACUAUGGUUCUCAUAGAGAGCCCUGCAGUAAUGCAUGGAGUAAGAAGAGUUAACAAAACAUAGAUUUUAUCAACUCCUAAGGAGCAUCUGCAAAAUUAUUAAUUCCCUGCAGUUACACAGCAGUUUUCACCCAGAGAUCUCUCAUACAUCUUUACAGACGUACAUCACCUUCAUUUUACGGCUGAGGAAAACGAGGCACAGAAAGCUUAAAUGCCUUGCCCAAGAUCAGGCAGCAAAUAAGUUGCAGUGUGUGGAGUAAGAGCUACAGUCACCUGCUUCCCAGUCACUUAAUCAGACCACUAGGUCAUAGCUCCCUUUCCAUGCAGAUUUUCCCUUGGAAAAAUAUAUAACGCACAAUCUGUUACAGAGGGAAUGUCAGUCAGAGCACACACAAAAAUAAAUAGCUAUCACAUUUCCCAGAGUACUAAAAUAGUAAUUGGGGAACGCAGGAUAGGGGACAAUGGAAAAGGAGAUCAGGA